AAAAUCUUAAGUUAAUUUAAACUAAUAACCUUCAAAGUUAUAUAUAAAUUUAUAUAUUUAGAUUUUA
rnacentral:tRNA from 1 species